AUAAGGACAUGAGGUAUCUGCAGCUGUCUAUAAGGACAUGAGAUAUCUGCAGCUGUCUAUAAGGACAUGAGAUAUCUGCAGCUGUCUACAAGUACAUUAGAGGUAUCUGCAGCUGUCUAUAAGGACAUGAGGUAUCUGCAGCUGUCUAUAAGGACAUGAGAUAUCUGCAGCUGUCUACAAGUACAUUAGAGGUAUCUGCAGCUGUCUACAAGUACAUUAGAGGUAUCUGCAGCUGUCUAUAAGGACAUGAGGUAUCUGCAGCUGUCUAUAAGGACUUUAGAGAUAUCUGCAGCUGUCUAUAAGGACAUUAGAGAUAUCUGCAGCUGUCUACAAGUACAUUAGAGGUAUCUGCAGCUGUCUAUAAGGACAUUAGAGGUAUCUGCAGCUGUCUAUAAGGACAUUAGAGGUAUCUGCAGCUGUCUAUAAGGACAUGAGGUAUCUGCAGCUGUCUAUAAGGACAUGAGGUAUCUGCAGCUGUCUAUAAGGACAUGAGGUAUCUGCAGCUGUCUAUAAGGACAUGGGGUAUCUGCAGCUGUCUAUAAGGACAUUAGAGGUAUCUGCAGCUGUCUAUAAGGACAUGAGGUAUCUGCAGCUGUCUAUAAGGACAUGGGGUAUCUGCAGCUGUCUAUAAGGACAUUAGAGGUAUCUGCAGCUGUCUAUAAGGACAUGAGGUAUCUGCAGCUGUCUAUAAGGACAUGGGGUAUCUGCAGCUGUCUAUAAGGACAUGAGGUAUCUGCAGCUGUCUAUAAGGACAUUAGAGGUAUCUGCAGCUGUCUAUAAGGACAUGAGGUAUCUGCAGCUGUCUAUAAGGACAUGAGGUAUCUGCAGCUGUCUAUAAGGACAUGAGGUAUCUGCAGCUGUCUAUAAGGACAUGAGAUAUCUGCAGCUGUCUAUAAGGACAUGAGGUAUCUGCAGCUGUCUAUAAGGACAUUAGAGGUAUCUGCAGCUGUCUAUAAGGACAUGAGGUAUCUGCAGCUGUCUAUAAGGACAUGAGGUAUCUGCAGCUGUCUAUAAGGACAUGGGGUAUCUGCAGCUGUCUAUAAGGACAUGAGGUAUCUGCAGCUGUCUAUAAGGACAUGAGGUAUCUGCAGCUGUCUAUAAGGACAUGAGAUAUCUGCAGCUGUCUAUAAGGACAUGAGAUAUCUGCAGCUGUCUACAAGUACAUUAGAGGUAUCUGCAGCUGUCUAUAAGGACAUGAGGUAUCUGCAGCUGUCUAUAAGGACAUGAGAUAUCUGCAGCUGUCUACAAGUACAUUAGAGGUAUCUGCAGCUGUCUACAAGUACAUUAGAGGUAUCUGCAGCUGUCUAUAAGGACAUGAGGUAUCUGCAGCUGUCUAUAAGGACUUUAGAGAUAUCUGCAGCUGUCUAUAAGGACAUUAGAGAUAUCUGCAGCUGUCUACAAGUACAUUAGAGGUAUCUGCAGCUGUCUAUAAGGACAUUAGAGGUAUCUGCAGCUGUCUAUAAGGACAUUAGAGGUAUCUGCAGCUGUCUAUAAGGACAUGAGGUAUCUGCAGCUGUCUAUAAGGACAUGAGGUAUCUGCAGCUGUCUAUAAGGACAUGAGGUAUCUGCAGCUGUCUAUAAGGACAUGGGGUAUCUGCAGCUGUCUAUAAGGACAUUAGAGGUAUCUGCAGCUGUCUAUAAGGACAUGAGGUAUCUGCAGCUGUCUAUAAGGACAUGGGGUAUCUGCAGCUGUCUAUAAGGACAUUAGAGGUAUCUGCAGCUGUCUAUAAGGACAUGAGGUAUCUGCAGCUGUCUAUAAGGACAUGGGGUAUCUGCAGCUGUCUAUAAGGACAUGAGGUAUCUGCAGCUGUCUAUAAGGACAUUAGAGGUAUCUGCAGCUGUCUAUAAGGACAUGAGGUAUCUGCAGCUGUCUAUAAGGACAUGAGGUAUCUGCAGCUGUCUAUAAGGACAUUAGAGGUAUCUGCAGCUGUCUAUAAGGACAUGAGGUAUCUGCAGCUGUCUAUAAGGACAUGGGGUAUCUGCAGCUGUCUAUAAGGACAUGGGGUAUCUGCAGCUGUCUAUAAGGACAUGGGGUAUCUGCAGCUGUCUAUAAGUACAUGAGGUAUCUGCAGCUGUC